rnacentral:lncRNA from 1 species
UUUUUUUUUUUUUUUUAGGAAAAACAAUUUUUUAAAUUAACAGACUUUGUACUUUAGAGCAGUCUGAGAUUUACAGAAUCUUAUAGAGCAGAGUUCCCACAUGUUCGGGCCAUGGGGCUCAGAGUUCAGGCUGGUGCCCCAUACAAGGUAAAGAUGGCUGAGGAUGUCCGAAAGGGUCAGGUCCACAGGAAGCUGCCCCUCAACAUUUCCAUUUGAGAGGACAGCACACAAGCAAGCAAGAGAAGUUGUGGUUAAUGAGUGUGCCAGAAAGGAGAUGACCAGGAUGGUGUGGUGGAGACUAAGACGAGACACCUGCUUUGACUGGGUGUUCAGGAGCAAAAUUUUUACACAUUGCUGUUCAUGGCCGUGUUUUAUUAGUAAUGCUGAAAAGUGAGAAACAACCUCAAGGUUCAAAUAUAGCAGUGUGGUUCAUUAACCUCAAUAGCCAAUGGAUGAAAUAGUAUGUGGCCACCAAAAACAAUAUAAAGACCAUGUAACAAAUGGGGAAACGCUUACAAUAUAAUUUCAAGGAAUAAAACCACAACAGAAGAUAAAAUUGUACUUUCAUGUAUUAACCUGGAACAUAUAAAAAUAUACAUACAUUAGAAAGAAACACAUCACAUUAGUGGGGUUUGUCUUUUGCAGCUAAAGGGAUGGAAGUGCAUUUCUUUAACAAAUACAAAUCCUUAUGUAGUAAGUGAGAAGUUUAAAACAAAGAAAUGACCUGAAAGUUCAAAUCAAUCCAUACGUCAAUUGGAGGUUAUGAUUAAAUGGUCAGUAUUUAAACCAGUGUUACUGUCUUUGACAUUCAGCAAUUUCUGAUCACUCAGUACAAACUAGCUUAGAAAUGACUUCAGGAUAAUUUGCAUGUAUAUUCAUAUGUAUACCAUACAUCUAUAUUCAUAUAUACAUACGAGUGUAUUCACACAUGGUUAGUAUGUAUACAAACAUACACACACACACAGAGAUACCCAUAUAUGUGUGUGUAUAUGUGUGUGUGUGUGUGUGUGUAUAUUACAUAAUAUAUAUAUAUAUAUUUCCAUCAGGAUUUUCUUCCCCAAGGAAAAAUUACAAUCUUGUUUGGCCAAAAAAAAAAAGAAAAAAAAAUCCCUGAAGGUGGGCCCCACAUGGUCUUAUAAAAACAGAUGGCCAGUUGGGAUUUAUGAAUACAUGAUAGAGAGGAAUAAUUUUACACAUGACAUGUUCCUGGCAAAGUGUUAGCCAUACAUGUUCAAAAUUAUUUUUUAAUUAAUUUCAAUAGUUUAAAAAAAAAAGUCAUUGAGUAAAUCCCCUGCCUCUAAGCAUUUUUACUUAAAUAGAUCCAUUUGUUUUUUAACUGACUCAAUAGAAAUUCAUAGGCCAAAAAUAUGAGGUCUGAGCGAGUAGCCUUGGCCUCAGACCAUAAACCUGGCUGCUCGGAGCGCUAAUCCAGGCCCGGUUUUAAACUCUCCCUGUGGUCCUGGGUGAGCUACUCAGGUCUGGCUUUCCAGUUCUUUGCAGAGAGUUAAAAUCACCAUGCAUUCCGCAAGGUGGGUCCUUGGCUACGGGGCUGGGACUGGCCAUAGGGUGAGGCUGCAAACAUCACGUGGGCACAGAGAACCAGCUAAGCACUCUGGGGAGUGCCUGAGGCCACUGGUCUGCCAGCCCCUCCCCAGCCUCAGACUCCCCAUCAGAAGAACAGACAUAACAAAGCACCCCUCAUCAAGGCUGACCAAGAUAAAGCCCUCAAGUGCCCCAGGUCUGCCCCCAGACUGGAUGCCACACUGUGGUGUUUACUCCUCUCAGGCCCUUUAUAAUAACCGACUCCCCAGGCAACUCCCCAUUAUGUUUUUCCCUUCAGCAAAGGCUGUACUGAGCAUUUACUAGGUACCAGGCACUUCCCCAGACAAUCAACUACUAUGUUAUUUUCCACUGAGACAGUCAGCAGAACUGGGAUUUCUGCACAGGCAGCUGGACCCUAAGUCCACAAGCUCGACCCCUCCCCUCUGUGCUACACGUGAAUGGGCAGGAACAGAGAUGUGGAUACCAAGUAGGAUCCGAGAUCCAAAGGAACCCAUACAGCUGCCCUCCCCCUGCCCUCUCCCACCAGGCCCAGACUCAGAGGCCACCAUUUUCAGGCUGUGUGGUCCUGGGUGGGUUACUGGACAUCUAUGUUCCUUCUUUUCCUCAGUUUCAAGAUAACAACAGCAUUUAAUUAUAUGAAGUGAAAGAAAGUACCUAGAGUGUUCACAGUGACAGGUCAGAAACUGAGAUGCAGAGAUGCUGCACAAUUUGCUCACGAUCCACAAGCAAGCAAGCUCCCACCCCUCACCACCUGCAGGGGGCGCUGGGCAAUGAAGACACAGGGUCACCGGGUUUAACUUAGACCUGUGGUUGGCAAACCUUUUUCACAAAGGACCAGGUAAUAAAUACCUUUGGCUCUUGACCCAUACAGUCCCUGCUGCCACUACUCCACUCUGUCACAGACAACCAUCAGUGAAUGGGUGUGGCUGUGUUCCAAUAAAAUUUUAUUUACACAAAGAGGCCCUGGCCCUCAGUUGUAGUUUGCAGACCCCUGCCGCAGAUGGGGAUGAGUCAGAGUUCUGGUAGGAAGGAUGCAGAGAGGGACAGAUGCAGAAUGUGCCACAAUCGCUAAGCUAAAUCUAUGCAGCAAGAGCUGUCAAGUGCAGCAGAAAUGAAGGGCUGGGAAACUGUCAAACGGAGAAAGAGCUCUGACCCAAGUUUUUGGUGUUUCUAGAAGAGGCCCUCCUGCCUUGCAGCUCUCAGGAGUGUCCCACAGACCCCAGCUCCAGGUCUGCUCUCUGGGGUAGAGACUCAGCUGGUUUCUAACAUGGAUGUGGAUGGCUGGGUGGGGGGAUGCCACUCCUUUCUAGCUGGAGUCUCCCACUGAGGGCCUCCUGGGCCAGUUUACACCUGUGGCACAGAUAUGAGUCCAAAUCCCCACGCUCCUUCGGAUGCAGGGCCUUUGCACAUGCUGUUCCCUCUGCCUGCAACAUCCCUGCCCACCUACUUUCCACCUGGCCAACUCCUUCCUCCUCCAGGCCUCAGCAGAAGCACCAGUUCCCAGGGACAACUUUCCCCAGCCAGACACCACCCCCUUCUGGCUUGGGGCCCCCAUAUGCAAAGUCCCAUGCACUUGCACCUCCUCUUGUAACUGUAACCACACAUAUUGUGGCUCUACAAUAUUUACUUGUCUCCCCCACUGGACUGGGUGGAGUACUGGGCGAGGAUGGACCGCACUGGUCUUAUUCUCCAUGCUUUCCUCAGUUCCUAGCUCAGGAUCUGACUCAAACAUUUGUUGAAGAAAUUAAUAAACAGAAAGAAAACUAAAUGUGCAAAUAGAAAUCUCUCCUUCCAAGUAAGAUGUUAAACUCAGUGGCAUUACGUCACUGAAAUGAGUAUGUUUUAAUUCUUUUUUCCCUCUUCUAACAUUUUCCCACUUUCUUGCUUUCCAAAUUUAUAAACUGGGGUAAAGUGAGUUCACAUAAAGGACUAAGCUCUGUGUUAAAAAGUGCUUCACUGACUGAUGUAUUUCAUUAGCAUUGAAAACAGUGCAGUUAUAUUAUAUGUUUCAUACAAACUACUAAUCCACAUGUGUGCAAAUUUGCCUCUAAGGACAACUUAGUAUUUUUAUGAUUUGCUUUCAAUAUUUCCCCAUUGUUCCAAUGUAAUAUUUUUUGCUAUUAAAAUUCAUAAUAAACUUCUGGAGGGGAAAAAAAAACAGGGUCACUCCAAGCAAGUAAA